rnacentral:rRNA from 1 species
GACGAACGCUGGCGGCGUGCUUAACACAUGCAAGUCGAACGGAAAGGCCCCCUUGUGGGGUACUCGAGUGGCGAACGGGUGAGUAACACGUGAGUAACCUACCCUUGACUUUGGGAUAACUUCAGGAAACUGGGGCUAAUACCGGAUAGGAGCUCCUGCUGCAUGGUGGGGGUCGGAAAGUUUCGGCGGCUGGGGAUGGACUCGCGGCUUAUCAGCUUGUUGGUGGGGUAGUGGCCUACCAAGGCUUUGACGGGUAGCCGGCCUGAGAGGGUGACCGGCCACAUUGGGACUGAGAUACGGCCCAGACUCCUACGGGAGGCAGCAGUGGGGAAUAUUGCACAAUGGGCGGAAGCCUGAUGCAGCAACGCCGCGUGCGGGAUGACGGCCUUCGGGUUGUAAACCGCUUUCGCCUGUGACGAAGCGUGAGUGACGGUAAUGGGUAAAGAAGCACCGGCUAACUACGUG